rnacentral:tRNA from 1 species
CGAGCAGUAGCCUACUGGUAGGGCUCCGGCUUCGUAUACGGGGAGACCUGGGUUCGAUUCCCGGAUGCUUAC